rnacentral:tRNA from 1 species
GCGGGCGUAGUUCAGUGGUAGAACGCUGUCCUGAUAAGACAGAGGUCGAAAGUCCGAUUCUUUCCGCCCGCA